UGUGAACGCUGGCGGUAAGCCUAACACAUGCAAGUCGAACGGCAGCACAGGAGAGCUUGCUCUCUGGGUGGCGAGUGGCGGACGGGUGAGGAAUACAUCGGAAUCUACUUUUUCGUGGGGGAUAACGUAGGGAAACUUACGCUAAUACCGCAUACGACCUACGGGUGAAAGCAGGGGACCUUCGGGCCUUGCGCGAUUGAAUGAGCCGAUGUCGGAUUAGCUAGUUGGCGGGGUAAGGGCCCACCAAGGCGACGAUCCGUAGCUGGUCUGAGAGGAUGAUCAGCCACACUGGAACUGAGACACGGUCCAGACUCCUACGGGAGGCAGCAGUGGGGAAUAUUGGACAAUGGGCGCAAGCCUGAUCCAGCCAUACCGCGUGGGUGAAGAAGGCCUUCGGGUUGUAAAGCCCUUUUGUUGAGAAAGAAAUCCAGCUGGCUAAUACCCGGUUGGGAUGACGGUACCCAAAGAAUAAGCACCGGCUAACUUCGUGCCAGCCGCCGCCGUAA
rnacentral:rRNA from 1 species